AUUCUUAGCAUGGGCAUUUCAUCUCUGGUCACCUCAGGAUUAAAAGGUGGCCACUCCACUUCUAGUCUCAGGCCCAUGUCCUCGACAAUAGCAAUAAGAAGAAAGUGACAAAGUCUGCCAGAAAUCCACAGCAGAUUUUCAUCAGAGUCAACCUCAGCUAUAAAGUGAAAGAGGCUGAGAAAAAAGCACAUUGUUGCUCUGAAUAAGAAAGGUUUUUUGCUUUUUGUUUAAAGAAAGAAGAGGAAAUGAAAUACUGGGUAGAAACUAACAGCAUUUGAUAUAAAAGGAGAAAAAAGCUUGAUGGGAGAAGGGGACCCUAAUUCUUAAUUAUCUGAGCUUCCCAUAAUUCCAAAUUUGGGUGUUCUUGCCUAGAUGGAGGGUUUGAGAGAAGUUAUUUGGGGAAUGAAGAGGUUUUCAGAGAUUUGAGACAUACUAAAUUUUGAGUGACAUCAACACAUAACUCCUAAUGGCUAAGCCAUGUUAGAAAACAAGGAAGAGGAUAAAACUGGAAAUAGAGAAUCAAGUGGUAAGGAGAAUGGAUUAUUGUUCCCAACUUCUUGCUUCUAUACUUAUUAAAAUGAUACCCUCAUACCUUUUGCCAUUUGCAAGCCACAUUUUCUUACCAGCUCCACUGAAGUUGUGUUUGGUGACAUGAAUCUUUUGGACAGUGGUUUAAGUGCAGAAGUGACAUGUGCCAGUUUGAGGCCACAGAGUAUUUCUGUUGGCUGCUUGGGAGUCUAAGCUCCCUGGUCCUAGGAUAGGGACUCAUGAGAUAAGUCAAAACUAAUGCGCAGCCAAGCCCCAUAGAGCCACAGUCAACGUGCAAACCCAUGAAGGAGAAGUAGAUGCUUGUGGUUGAAGCCACUAAAGUUUGAGGUUGUUUUUAUUAUGCAGUGCUGUGCGGUGGAAGCCUAAUUAAUAUGUGUGGUCAUUCUCAAGUACGCAAGAAUAUAUGAGAGCUACUUCUCCCUUAUUAGGAAGACCAUGAUCAAAAAGAUAGAUAAAACUAGUUUUGGCAAGGAUAUGGACACUCAUACAUUGCUGGUGGGAAUGUAAAUAGGUACAGCCUCUUGGGACAACGGUCUGGCACUUCCUCAAAAUGUCAAAAGUAGAAAUAUCGUAUGAGCCAGAAUUCUACUCCUAGAUAUAUCACCAAGAGAAAAGAAAACAUAGGUCCAUACAAAAAUGUAUGGGUGACUGUGAAGUGUAGCAUUAUUCACAAUAGCCAAAAAGUGGAGACAGCACAAGUGUCUGUCAACCAAUGAAUGGAUAAACAAAAUGUGGUACAUUCAUAUAAAGGAGUAUUACUCAGCAAUAAAAAGGAAUGGCAUACUGACACAUGCUGCAGUAUGGAUGACGUAUGGGAUGACCCUUGAAAAUACUACGUUAAUUGAAAGAAGCCAGACCCCAAAAGUCACAAAUUGUAUGAUUUCAUGUAUAUGAAACUUCCAGGAAAGGUAAAUUGAGAGAGAGAGAGAAGAGAUCUGUGGAUUGCAGAGUAUGGGGAGAAGGAUGAGAAAUGACUGCCAAUGGGGAAGGGAUGUCUUUGGGGUAAUAGCAAUAUUCUAAAGUCUGUUGUAGUGAUGGUUUCACAACUCUGAGAAUACACUAAAAACCAGUGAACUGUGUACUGUAAGUGGAUGAGUUCUGUGGUAUGGUUUAAAACAAAGAACAAAGGACAAAGCUGCAAACCUGCCAAUAAGACACAGGCUGUGAGCUGUGGGCCAUACACCAGUCACUCUCACCUGAUCUGUCUGACAACGGCAUAUGUGGUUGCAAAAGUGAGUCUGGGUAGGUGGGUCUUUGCCAGACAAAAGGAAAUAUUGCACACGUGGCACUAACUUGCCUGUCUAGGAAAAAGGCAGGUAUUAAUGGUUUCUUUAGCACCCUACGUGACCUUACCUAGUAGGUUUCAAACCCUGUAAAAAAUAUUUCCUUUAAUAAUGUGCCCAAGGUAUUCUUGAAGAAAAUCUAAUUGUAGAACAAACAAUUCAGAAAUUUUUGGAGGAAAAUACAGAAAGCAUGGUCAUCCUUCUUUACCCCAGCCUACUGACUCCAUAUACUCUCCUCCCAGAGGUAAUCACUGGAAACAAUUGAUGUACUAUUGCCUUCUAGUCCUUUGUUCUAAGCAUUUGCAUAAAUAUAUAGGCAAGUACACAGCCUUACUUUUAUGUAAAUUGGACCAUACUAAGCCCAUUGUACUGAAACUUGCUUUUUAAAAAACUUAACAUGUUUUGAAGCUCUUUCCAUGCAUUUUUUUUUUUUUUUUUUUUGUCUUUUUGCCAUUUCUUGGGCCGCUCCCGUGGCAUAUGGAGGUUCCCAGGCUAGGGGUCCAAUCGGAGCUGUAGCUGCCGGCCUACGCCAGAGCCACAGCAACGCGGGAUCCGAGCCGCGUCUGCGACCUACACCACAGCUCACGGCAACGCCGGAUCCUUAACCCGCUGAGCAAGGGGCAGGGAUCGAACCCGCAACCUCAUGGUUCCUAGUCGGAUUCGUUAACCACUGUGCCAUGAUGGGAACUCCUCCAUGCAUUUUUUUUUUCACCUGUAUAGUACUUUUCCAUAGUAUGGUUGCAUCAUAGCUUGAUUAGCUAUUCCCUAUGGAAAAAGAUCAGAUUGUGCCCCGUUUAGUGCUAUUACAAAACAUCGAUAAAGGUGUUGUUGAUAUACACAUCUUUGACCAUGUGUGUGAUUUUUUUCUGCAGGAUAGUUUUUUAAAGUUACAAUUCUGAGUUGAGAAUGCACAUCUUAAAUUUAAAGUCACUUUUUAGAAAUCAGUAGAAACUUUUUUUCCAAAUAAACCUUUACAUGGAAGCCCAAUAUAUAGAAAGUUAAGAGAGAAUGUAUUGAUCUUGAGCAGGGAAGCAGAACUCCGAAGUGCUAACCCCUCAGCCUCUGGCUUUCACUGCCCCAAGGCACCUUCAUGGAACCCUAGGAUUCCAUAGAUUAAGACUGGAAGCCAUUGAUGUAAUGAGCCGAGCUGACAUGUAAUAGUUCAGAAUGUAAGGGUGGAUUUCACACUUGGUUUUUUUAUAACAAAUUAAUUCCAAAUCAAAGAGUUUUAGCUACCUAGAACUGUAGUGUAUUAUUAUUAUUAUUAUUGUCUUUCUGUCUUUUUUUUAGGGUCCUCCUGCGGCAUAUGGAAGUUCCCAGGCUAGGGGUCCAGUCGGAGCUGUAGCCACCAGCCCAUGCCAGAGCCACAGCAACGAAGGAUCUGAGCUGUGUCUGCGACCUACACCACAGCUCCUGGCAACGCCGGAUCCUUAACCCACUGAGGGAGGCAAGGGAUCAAACCUGCGUUCUCAUGGAUGCCAGUCAGGUUCGUUAACUGCUGAGCCAUGACAGGAACUCCUGUGGUGUAUUAUUUUAUGUCCACCAACAGGACCAUUGUCGAUCAGGAUGACUUUUGAAAGCAGUGGAAUUUCAGAGUUUCUAGAGAGAAGAGACUUCAGGGAGAUAAGUUGAUUGCAAGAAGGGGCUAGAUUCUGCUACUGCAAAGACAUAGUAAGCUGCCUGCCUGCACUGGCUUUGAGGAGCUGAGAGUGAGUGACAGAAUAAAGCAUCUCCCUCCAAGCUACCACUUGGUGUGACCAUAUCAUAAAUGUUUCAUAGAUCAAAACGAGCUGUCAGGAAAACAGAAUAAUUCAGAGGCUAGAUUUUGCACAUCUUUAUUACCUAUGGUUCUAUGUUAAAUUCCAGGCUUUGAAAUAUGAGUUUUGAGAAUGCUUACAUAACUAUCAGCUACAGGAAUACAUCUGGAUAGCAAUAAGUCUUUUGCAAGCCAACACAAAACAUAAGGCAAUGUUAGCUAACGCUAAUGAAACCUUUAAAAAAUGAAGUUCAAGAGCACAAAAUACUUCCAAGCUACUCCGUUCAAAUAUACCAAUACACAUCAUUUAGCUUGGAAAUCAUCAUGAAUGUA
rnacentral:lncRNA from 1 species